CAGCGGUUAGUUUAACGGGCAAAACACCGGCUAAGAAUGCACAAACGAGCGUUGUGUAUCCUGAGCCGGAAUUGCAGGUCCGAGUCCUGCACCGCUGA
rnacentral:tRNA from 2 species